rnacentral:rRNA from 1 species
GUGGGGAAUAUUGGACAAUGGGCGCAAGCCUGAUCCAGCAAUGCCGCGUGAGUGAUGAAGGCCUUAGGGUUGUAAAGCUCUUUCGCACGCGACGAUGAUGACGGUAGCGUGAGAAGAAGCCCCGGCUAACUUCGUGCCAGCAGCCGCGGUAAUACGAAGGGGGCUAGCGUUGUUCGGAAUUACUGGGCGUAAAGGGCGCGUAGGCGGCCUGUUUAGUCAGAAGUGAAAGCCCCGGGCUCAACCUGGGAACCGCUUUUGAUACUGGCAGGCUUGAGUUCCGGAGAGGAUGGUGGAAUUCCCAGUGUAGAGGUGAAAUUCGUAGAUAUUGGGAAGAACACCGGUGGCGAAGGCGGCCAUCUGGACGGACACUGACGCUGAGGCGCGAAAGCGUGGGGAGCAAACAGGAUUAGAUACCCGUGUAGUCC